CAUCUUAAUCUAUCCUACAAAAACACUAUAAAGGGACAAAGUGAUGUCAUAGUGAUGUCACAUCAUGUGCUUCCCCAUUAAAACUUUCACAGUUUCCUUCUGCAUUUAUGUCAUAUAGUCUAGUGAAGCCAAAGAACUAACAUGAUUAUACUAAUAAUCAUCAAACUGAUAAUUCUGCAGCAUUUUUCAGAAUCCAGUGAUGUUACACAGACACCAGUAUUAUGGGUUCAACAGGGUGAAUUUGCACAAAUGAACUGCAGUCAUACUAUGGGUGCAGGCUAUAACUACAUGUAUUGGUUUCAACAACGAAAGGGAGAAACAAUGAGACUCAUUGCCUCCAUUAUAACAGGCAGCAAUCCAGAUUUUGGUGAAUUUUCUGAUGAUAAAUACUCAGCUGAAAAGACUGUAGCUGAUAAAGGGUCUUUCACAGUGAAGAAGCUGCAGCCCGAUGACAGUGGUGUGUAUUUCUGUGCAGUGAGUGAGCACAGUGACACAUACCUAUUGUGCUGCUGUACAAAAACCUUAACUUCCUUAAUGACUUGUGGUGCAUAAAAAUAUAUUUUUUAAUCUAAAGUGACAUUUUUUUAACAGACAUUUCUUCUCAUGCAGUCUGUAUUUAUGACAUUUUGUAAUCUAGACAGAGAACUAAUAUGAUAACAAUAAUAUUCUUUAAAUUGACAAUACUGCAACGUAGUAUGUUGCAUGCAAACAGCCUUCAAAUAAUCUUCAAAAAACAUGAAUCAAUCAAUCAAUAAGUAUUGGAACAGUAAAAACAAAAUUGUUCUGUUUGCUGUGGAGUCAAGGAAUCUGUAAAUAUGAUUAAAAGAUGAAUAUGAGACAAAACUACAGAAUGUCACAUUUUAUUAUUGGGUGAUUCAACACAAAGAUGUUUUACCAGCUAAGAAGAUCAGCACUUUUAGAGUUUCAUCUCCCUAUCUGAUGUGAGCAUAAGUAUUGGAACAUUUGCCUCACAGGUCUUUCUAAGUGUUCAGCUGUGACCUGUUGCAUUAAUGUGUCUCAUCAGUUCUAUCCAUUGCUUCUGCAUUCUAAGUCUUGCAUUCUAUGAUGACACACACAAACCAGGAUGAAGAUGAGGAAGCCUACUCUGAAAGAAAAGCAAGCAAUUUGGAUGCUAAAAGAAAAUAGGAAGUCAAUUAGAACUAUAGGAAAAACAAAGGGCAUGGAGAAAUUAAGAGUUUGGGAACUUCUGGCAACAUCAGCAACCAACGACGACCUGAUCGGCUGAGAAAAACAACAGUAAUUGAGGACAGACAAAUCAAAGCUGUGAAAAUGAACCCUAAAAUACAUGUCUGUAAAAUCACCAACAACCUCCAGAAAGCUGGGGUGAUGCUCUGUCAAACUACAGUCCUCAGGAGAAUUUGACACAGAAUUACAGAAGCUACACAGCAAGAUACAAACCUCUGAUCAGUACCAAAAAAAUAGAAAGGCAAGAUUCUUCACAAAUGUAAGCCAGUAGAGUUUUGGAACUGAGUUGAUGGACCGAUGAGACAAAGAUUAACCUUAAUCUAAGUGACUGGAAAGCAAAAGUGUG
ensembl:lncRNA